rnacentral:rRNA from 1 species
UACGAAGGGGGCUAGCGUUGUUCGGAUUUACUGGGCGUAAAGCGCGUGUAGGCGGGUCGUUAAGUUGGGGGUGAAAUCCCGAGGCUCAACCUCGGAACUGCCUUCAAGACUGGCGACCUAGGCUCAAGUAGAGGCAAGUGGAAUUGCGAGUGUAGAGGUGAAAUUCGUAGAUAUUCGCAGGAACACCAGUGGCGAAGGCGACUUGCUGGGCUUGUAGUGACGCUGAGACGCGAAAGCGUGGGGAGCAAACAGG